rnacentral:tRNA from 3 species
GCGAAUGUGGUGAAGUGGUUAACACACCAGAUUGUGGCUCUGGCAUGCGUGGGUUCGAUCCCCAUCAUUCGCC